rnacentral:lncRNA from 1 species
GCCACCCGGGUGCAGUGAGGACCUGGAGCCCCUGCCCCAGGCUGUGAGGAGACUUGACCAGAGCUGCCUGAAUGCUCCACGGAGCAGGUGGGAGCCCACCCUCCCAGGUGCAGGACCCGGGAGUCUCUGCACUCUGCACCCUCGGGGGCCCAGGGGACCCCCUUGCCCUUGCAGGCUUGUAUCUGCUCCUGCUGCCUAGCCUCUCCCCACUGCCGGCGCCUGCCUGGAUCUCGGAGCAGGGUUGGGGCCGUGCCCCAGCACUGACAGCCCGGCCAGGUGUGUGCACACACGGGGCAGUGCUGAUAUGCCAGUCACCUGCCACCUCGGCCGCCUCCGGACCUUGGGCACCAAAAAGCACUUUUUAAAAAUAUACUUUAAGUUAUGGGAUACAUGUGCAGAACGUGCAGGUUUGUUACAUAGGUAUACACGUGCCAUGGUGGUUUGCUGCACCCAUCAACCCGUCAUCUACAUCAGCAGGAGGAAGCAUUCCCAUGUGAAAGAUGAGCUCCCUAUAAAAGCAACGCUCUUAUCAUCGAGAACAGAAAGUUGAAGCCAAGAGAGAGCUCCACAAGCUGACCUUGUUAAACUAACCCUUAUCUUCUUAGUCGCUUCUUUACCCAAUUAACUACCCUAGCCGAAGCCCCUUUGCCUUAUUACAUUUUGCAACAGUGUUCGUUGUCCAAUUCAGUAUACAAGUGAGUGACUCUGGAUGCUUUUUGGGGUCUUCGUUUCCUUAUGAGGGCUUCUGUGCCAUGUAAAACUUGUAUUAAAUA